UAAGACCAAAGUGCAACUAAGCUGUCAUAAGCUCAAGAUGUACCUAAGACCUCCCUUAAAACGAUCUUAGCGCUUUUGAUCAAUUUAAUUCCACGAAAGCUAAGACACAAACUGGGAUUAGAUACCCCACUAUGCUUAGCCCUAAAUCUUGAUGCUCUUUUCCCCAUACCUAGAGCAUCCGCCUGAGAACUACGAGCACAAACGCUUAAAACUCUAAGGACUUGGCGGUGCCCUAAACCCACCUAGAGGAGCCUGUUCUGUAAUCGAUAACCCACGUUACACCCGACCGCCUCUUGCCAAAACAGCCUACAUACCGCCGUCGCCAGCUCACCUCCCCUGAGAGCCCAACAGUGAGCACAACAGCCUAAACCCGCUAAUAAGACAGGUCGAGGUAUAGCCUACGAGGCGGAAGAAAUGGGCUACAUUUUCUAAAAUAGAAAACUUACGGAAGGGGGUAUGAAAUUGGCCCCCCGAAGGCGGAUUUAGUAGUAAAGUGGGACAAUAUAAGCCUUCUUUAAAUCGGCCCUGGGGCACGUACAUACCGCCCGUCACCCUCC
rnacentral:rRNA from 1 species